AUUGAACGCUGGCGGCAGGCCUAACACAUGCAAGUCGAGCGGGGUUUUCGGACCUAGCGGCGGACGGGUGAGUAAUGCGUAGGAAGCUACCCGGUAGAGGGGGAUACCAGUUGGAAACGACUGUUAAUACCGCAUAAUGUCUACGGACCAAAGUGUGGGACCUUCGGGCCACAUGCUAUCGGAUGAGCCUGCGUGGGAUUAGCUAGUUGGUGGGGUAAUGGCUCACCAAGGCGACGAUCCCUAGCUGGUUUGAGAGGAUGAUCAGCCACACUGGAACUGAGACACGGUCCAGACUCCUACGGGAGGCAGCAGUGGGGAAUAUUGGACAAUGGGCGCAAGCCUGAUCCAGCCAUGCCGCGUGUGUGAAGAAGGCCUUCGGGUUGUAAAGCACUUUCAGUAGGGAGGAAGGGUGUUGUGUUAAUAGCACAGCAUUUUGACGUUACCUACAGAAGAAGCCCCGGCUAACUUCGUGCCAGCCGCCGCCGUAAGAC
rnacentral:rRNA from 1 species